rnacentral:rRNA from 1 species
UACGGAGGGGCAAGCGUUGUUCGGAAUUACUGGGCGUAAAGGGCGCGCAGGCGGCUGCUCAAGUCAGGCGUGAAAGGCCUGGGCUCAACCCGGGAAUUGCGCUUGAGACUGGGCUGGCUUGAGUGCGGGAGAGGAUGGUGGAAUUCCCAGUGUAGAGGUGAAAUUCGUAGAUAUUGGGAAGAACACCGGUGGCGAAGGCGGCCAUCUGGACCGCAACUGACGCUGAGGCGCGAAAGCGUGGG